CGUAGCUCAGCUGGUAGAGCAAUUGACUCUUAAUCAAUGGGCCGAGGGUUCGAGCCCCUCCGA
rnacentral:tRNA from 3 species